UACGUAGGGGCUAGCGUUGUCCGGAAUCAUUGGGCGUAAAGAGCGUGUAGGCGGCCCGGUAAGUCCGCUGUAAAAGUCAAAGGCUCAACCUUUGAAUGUCAGUGGAUACUGCCGGGCUAGAGUCCGGAAGAGGCGAGUGGAACUCCUGGUGUAGCGGUGGAAUGCGCAGAUAUCAGGAAGAACACCAACGGCGAAGGCAGCUCGCUGGGACGUAACUGACGCUGAGACGCGAAAGCGUGGGGAGCAAACAGG
rnacentral:rRNA from 1 species